rnacentral:rRNA from 1 species
UACGUAGGGUGCAGGCGUUAAUCGGAAUUACUGGGCGUAAAGGGCGCGUAGGCGGUCUGCUAAGUUGGAUGUGAAAACUCUGGGCUUAACCCAGAGCCUGCAUUCAAUACUGACAGGCUAGAGUUCUGGAGGGGAUAGCGGAAUUCCUGGUGUAGCGGUGAAAUGCGUAGAUAUCAGGAGGAACACCGGUGGCGAAGGCGGCUAUCUGGACAGAAACUGACGCUGAGGCGCGAAAGCUAGGGGAGCAAACAGG